CGUAAAGUUGUACAUUCAGGGGGGGAGAAGGCCUUUGCUGUCCACGACAGACCGUGCGGAUUUCGACCUCCAUUAUUCUCAGUUUAGCUUAGAAAGUAAAUCUGAAAUUGGAUCUCUCUCUUUCUUUCUUUCUUUUUCUUUAUUUUUUUCUAUUGGGAUUUGGGUAGGUGAAUUAGGAAUUCUGAUACAAUUAUAUUGAUUGGAAUAGCUCUAAAUCGGGAGGAGAAGCUGAAAAAGAACUGGGGUCCAAGAAUUUUUUCCUUUCCCGCAAGAAGCCGAACGAAGUUGCGGUGGAUGCGUCUUCCUCUUCGUUGUUGCCGGCGAUGGCAUCGUCGUCUUGUUGGAACCAAGUUGAGAAUGUUUCGAAGAUCUCUAUUCCCUGACAUAGGUUCAUGGAUUUCUAGUUGUAGUAUCUUGAUAAGAGAGAGAUGUU